GCAAGUCGAGCGCUACCUUCGGGUGAGUAUAGCGGCGGACGGGUGAGUAACGCGUGGGAAUCUACCUGGUAGUGGGGGACAACAUCUCGAAAGGGGUGCUAAUACCGCAUACGACCUAAGGGUGAAAGUGGGGGAUCUUCGGACCUCACGCUAUCAGAGGAGCCCGCGUAAGAUUAGCUAGUUGGUGGGGUAAAGGCCUACCAAGGCGACGAUCUUUAGCUGGUCUGAGAGGAUGAUC
rnacentral:rRNA from 1 species